rnacentral:lncRNA from 1 species
UACUCAAAACUUUACAAACAUAUGGCUUAUCAGUCAAUCUCAGCUACAUCAAUUUCACCGCAAUCAUCCCUUUCAAAAUUGCAUUACACAAAAUCAUUGAUCUUCAAUAUCAAGACUUACAUAGUUUGGGUUUCUUAUAUGCAUCCCUUUGGACGGCUUUUUUUGUUCGCCCUUCCAUAAGAUGGCCUAAUAAUUAACUACUUAAGCGGUU